UCUUCACUAGUAUAUUGGCUAGUAUAUAUCCCUCUCAUUAGAGAGUUGCUCCUUACGGAGUUCGAACGGAUAAGAGCAGGGUUCGAUUCCCUGGUGGAGAA